GGGGAUGUAGCUCAGUUGGUAGAGUACUUGCCUAGUAUUUGCAAGGCCCUGGGUUUGACCCCCAGCACCACCA
rnacentral:tRNA from 1 species